rnacentral:rRNA from 1 species
GUACACUCCUGCGGGAGGCAGCAGUGGGGAAUUUUGGACAAUGGGCGAAAGCCUGAUCCAGCAAUGCCGCGUGAGUGAAGAAGGCCUUCGGGUUGUAAAGCUCUUUUGUCAGGGAAGAAACGGUGAAAGCUAAUAUCUUUUGCUAAUGACGGUACCUGAAGAAUAAGCACCGGCUAACUACGUGCCAGCAGCCGCGGCAAUACGUAGGGUGCAAGCGUUAAUCGGAAUUACUGGGCGUAAAGCGUGCGCAGGCGGUUUUGUAAGUCUGAUGUGAAAUCCCCGGGCUCAACCUGGGAAUUGCAUUGGAGACUGCAAGGCUAGAAUCUGGCAGAGGGGGGUAGAAUUCCACGUGUAGCAGUGAAAUGCGUAGAUAUGUGGAGGAACACCGAUGGCGAAGGCAGCCCCCUGGGUCAAGAUUGACGCUCAUGCACGAAAGCGUGGGGAGCAAACAGGAUUAGAUACCCGGGUAGUCCCA